GUAGGUGGCAAGCGUUGUCCGGAAUUAUCGGGCGUAAAGCGCGCGCAGGCGGUUCUUUAAGUCUGAUGUGAAAGCCCACGGCUCAACCGUGGAGGGUCAUUGGAAACUGGAGAACUUGAGUACAGAAGAGGAAAGCGGAAUUCCACGUGUAGCGGCGAAAUGCGUAGAGAUGUGGAGGAACACCAGUGGCGAAGGCGGCUUUCUGGUCUGUAACUGACGCUGAGGCGCGAAAGCGUGGGGAGCAAACAGGGAUUAGAUACCCUGGUAGUCCACGCCGUAAACGAUGAGUGCUAAGUGUUAGGGGGUUUCCGCCCCCUUAGUGCUGCAGCUAACGCAUUAAGCACUCCGCCUGGGGAGUACGGCCGCAAGGCUG
rnacentral:rRNA from 1 species